rnacentral:sRNA from 1 species
GCCGGGCGUGGUGGCACAUGCCUGUAAUCCCAGCAGCUGGGGAGGCUGAGGCAGAAGGAUCAAAUAUUCAAAGCCAUCCUCAGCAACUGUUAGGCACUGAACAACUCAGUGAGAUCCUGUCUCUA